rnacentral:rRNA from 1 species
UACAGGGGGUGCAAACGUUGCUCGGAAUCAUUGGGCGUAAAGCGCACGUAGGCGGUUCGUUAUGUCGGAUGUGAAAGCCCUUGGCUUAACCGAGGAAGUGCAUCCGAAACUGGCGAACUAGAGUACGAAAGAGGAUCGCGGAAUUCCCGGUGUAGAGGUGAAAUUCGUAGAUAUCGGGAGGAACACCGGUGGCGAAGGCGGCGAUCUGGGUCGAUACUGACGCUGAGGUGCGAAAGCGUGGGGAGCAAACAGG